CACCAGCGCCACAAGUGGCCAUCGCGAUUAUUGGGCCUAAAGCGUUCGUAGUCGGUUCGGUGCAUCCUCUGUGAAAUUGCAGCGCUUAACGUUGCAGCAUGCGGAGGACACGACCGAGCUCGAGACCGGGAGGCGUUGAGGGUAUUCCAGGGGGACCGGUAAAAUGGUAUAAUCCCUGGAGGACCACCUGUGGCGAAGGCGCUCAACGAGAACGGAUCUGACGAUGAGGAACGAAAGCCAGGGGAGCAAA
rnacentral:rRNA from 1 species